GAUCAAAUCAAGCGCGAGAAGGGCGUUUGGUGGAUGCCUUGGCAGUAAGAGGCGAUGAAGGACGUGAUACUCUGCGAUAAGCUUGGGGGAGCCGAGAAUAGGCUUUGAUCCCAAGAUCUCCGAAUGGGGCAACCCACCUGAUACUCGGUUAUAAUCAGCUCUGCUGUUUAUAAUUGGGUAAAACAGGUACUUAUUACCUGAAUACAUAGGGUUUUAAGAGCAAACCCGGGGAACUGAAACAUCUAAGUACCCGGAGGAAAGGAAAUCAAUGAUACUCCCCUAGUAGUGGCGAGCGAACGGGGACCAGCCGAGCCAUGAGAGUGACAAGAAUGAUCUGGAAAGAUCAGCCAUAGCGGGUGACAGCCCCGUAUUGGAAGCUCGAUUGGACGUAUUAAGUAGGGCGGGACACGUGAAAUCCUGUCUGAAGAUCGGAGGACCACCUUCGAAGGCUAAGUACUCCUUACUGACCGAUAGCGAACCAGUACCGUGAGGGAAAGGUGAAAAGCACCCCGACGAGGGGAGUGAAACAGUACCUGAAACCGAACGCCUACAAUCAGUCGGAGCUUGACUGGACUCUAAUGACAAUCUGGGCCAUGUCCUCCUUGAAGAUCAGGGAGAUACGAACAUGGCUGACGGAACCUUCGCAGUAUUGAUGCUGGUGCUCGGUCUGACCGACAUGGGCAUGAACCAUUGCGGAACGGCUAACGGAUGCCUCGGGACGUCGCCUGCGACGCCGCGGCUGAUGAUCUCGGCCGGUGAGGUUCUGGAACGACAGGCACAGCCUGCGUCGGAGGUCUACCUUCGCUACGAUCUGCCCCGGAAACGCGGGCCGUUCGGAGAGGCCAUCGGUCUCUCGGUUGGCGAAGAAGGCGAAACCUGGAUCGGGUUUGGCCAGACCUACACGGUGAACUUCGGAAACUCUCCGCUGUUUGCCGAGCUGCACGCGAUGCCUGGUCUCUACUUCGAUAACGGCGGAUACGACCUCGGCGGACCGAUAGAGUUCCGUUCCGGGAUCGAGCUGGGAUACGAAAACCGGAAGGGCUGGCGCUUCGGCCUCAGCUACGAUCACCGCUCGAAUGCGGGGAUCUACGACAACAAUCCCGGGAUCGAGACCGUUGCGUUCCACGUGAGCAUUCCAACCAGAUAACGGUUGUCAUCAGUGUCCAGUCUUGUGACGGCGUACCUUUUGUAUAAUGGGUCAUCGACUUGGUCUAUCUAGCAAGCUUAAGCCGUUAGGUGUAGGCGCAGCGAAAGCGAGUCUUAAUAGGGCGUCGAGUUAGAUGGAUCAGACCCGAAACCGAGUGAUCUAGGCAUGACCAGGAUGAAGGUAAGGUAACACUUACUGGAGGUCCGAACCCACACCUGUUGAAAAAGGUCGGGAUGAGUUGUGCCUAGGGGUGAAAGGCCAAUCAAACUCGGAGAUAGCUGGUUCUCCGCGAAAUCUAUUUAGGUAGAGCGUCAUCCGAAUACCCCGGGGGGUAGAGCACUGGAUGGGUAAUGGGGCCCCACAGGCUUACUGAUCCUAACCAAACUCCGAAUACCCGGGAGUACUAGAUGGCAGACACACUGCGGAUGCUAACGUCCGUAGUGAAGAGGGAAACAACCCUGACCUCCAGCUAAGGCCCCCAAUUCGUGGCUAAGUGGGAAAGCAGGUGGGACGACCAAAACAACCAGGAGGUUGGCUUAGAAGCAGCCAUCCUUUAAAGAUAGCGUAACAGCUCACUGGUCUAAUCAAGUUGUCCUGCGGCGAAGAUGUAACGGGGCUCAAGCCACGAGCCGAAGCUGAGGAUGCGAGAGCAUGGUAGCGGAGCGUAGUGUGAUAUAGCACUUAUCUUUACUAUCGCACUCGAGGUUGCACGGGCAUUCGUGUCCAGGUGGCCGAUAGGCGGUAGCACAAGAUAAAGUGCUUUCUGUGAAGCCGGCGCGUGAGCGAUCCGGUGGAGAGAUCACUAGCGAGAAUGAUGACAUGAGUAGCGACAAAGAGUGUGAGAGACACUCUCGCCGAAAGUCCAAGGGUUCCUGCUUAAAGCUAAUCUGAGCAGGGUAAGCCGGCCCCUAAGGCGAGGCCGAAAGGCGUAGUCGAUGGGAACCAGGUUAAUAUUCCUGGGCCAGAAGGAUGUGACGGAUUGUGGCGGCGUACGUCCCUUAUCGGAUUGGGGCGUAUCCAAGACAGUUCCUGGAAAUAGCCCUUCAUGAGACCGUACCCUAAACCGACACAGGUGGACUGGUAGAGAAUACCAAGGCGCUUGAGAGAACGAUGUUGAAGGAACUCGGCAAAAUACCUCCGUAAGUUCGCGAGAAGGAGGCCCGGUACAUGAGUGCCGGGGGCACAAACCAGGGGGUGGCGACUGUUUAUUAAAAACACAGGGCUCUGCGAAGUCGCAAGACGACGUAUAGGGUCUGACGCCUGCCCGGUGCCUGAAGGUUAAAAGGAGGGGUGCAAGCUCUGAAUUGAAGCCCAGGUAAACGGCGGCCGUAACUAUAACGGUCCUAAGGUAGCGAAAUUCCUUGUCGGGUAAGUUCCGACCUGCACGAAUGGCGUAACGACUUCCCCGCUGUCUCCAACAUCGACUCAGCGAAAUUGAAUUGCCUGUCAAGAUGCAGGCUUCCCGCGGUUAGACGGAAAGACCCCGUGCACCUUCACUACAGCUUCGCACUGGCAUCAGGCACAACAUGUGCAGGAUAGGUGGUAGACUUUGAAACCAGGACGCCAGUCCUGGUGGAGUCAUCCUUGAGAUACCACCCUUGUUCUGCUUGAUGUCUAACCGCGACCCGUUAUCCGGGUCCGGGACCCUGCGUGGUGGGUAGUUUGACUGGGGCGGUCGCCUCCUAAAGCGUAACGGAGGCGCGCGAAGGUUGGCUCAGAGCGGUCGGAAAUCGCUCGUUGAGUGCAAUGGCAGAAGCCAGCCUGACUGCAAGACUGACAAGUCGAGCAGAGACGAAAGUCGGCCAUAGUGAUCCGGUGGUCCCAAGUGGGAGGGCCAUCGCUCAACGGAUAAAAGGUACGCCGGGGAUAACAGGCUGAUACUGCCCAAGAGUCCAUAUCGACGGCAGUGUUUGGCACCUCGAUGUCGGCUCAUCUCAUCCUGGGGCUGGAGCAGGUCCCAAGGGUAUGGCUGUUCGCCAUUUAAAGAGGUACGUGAGCUGGGUUUAGAACGUCGUGAGACAGUUCGGUCCCUAUCUGCCGUGGGUGUAGGAUACUUGAGAGGAGUUGCCCCUAGUACGAGAGGACCGGGGUGAACGAUCCACUGGUGGACCAGUUGUCGUGCCAACGGCAGUGCUGGGUAGCUAUGAUCGGAAAGGAUAACCGCUGAAGGCAUCUAAGCGGGAAGCCCCCCUCAAAACAAGGUAUCCCUGAGGGCCGUGGAAGACCACCACGUCGAUAGGCCGGAGAUGUAAGUGCAGCAAUGCAUUCAGUUGACCGGUACUAAUGGCCCGAUAGGCUUGAUUUGAUCCAG
rnacentral:rRNA from 1 species